rnacentral:rRNA from 1 species
AUUGGGACUGAGAUACGGCCCAGACUCCUACGGGAGGCAGCAGUGGGGAAUAUUGCACAAUGGGCGCAAGCCUGAUGCAGCGACGCCGCGUGCGGGAUGACGGCCUUCGGGUUGUAAACCGCUUUUGAUCGGGAGCAAGCCUUCGGGUGAGUGUACCUUUCGAAUAAGCACCGGCUAACUACGUGCCAGCAGCCGCGGUAAUACGUAGGGUGCAAGCGUUAUCCGGAAUUAUUGGGCGUAAAGGGCUCGUAGGCGGUUCGUCGCGUCCGGUGUGAAAGUCCAUCGCUUAACGGUGGAUCUGCGCCGGGUACGGGCGGGCUGGAGUGCGGUAGGGGAGACUGGAAUUCCCGGUGUAACGGUGGAAUGUGUAGAUAUCGGGAAGAACACCAAUGGCGAAGGCAGGUCUCUGGGCCGUUACUGACGCUGAGGAGCGAAAGCGUGGGGAGCGAACAGGAUUAGAUACCCUGGUAGUCCACGCCGUAAACGGUGGAUGCUGGAUGUGGGGCCCGUUCCACGGGUUCCGUGUCGGAGCUAACGCGUUAAGCAUCCCGCCUGGGGAGUACGGCCGCAAGGCUAAAACUCAAAGAAAUUGACGGGGGCCCGCACAAGCGGCGGAGCAUGCGGAUUAAUUCGAUGCAACGCGAAGAACCUUACCUGGGCUUGACAUGUUCCCGGCCGCUCCAGAGAUGGGGCUUCCCUUCGGGGCGGGUUCACAGGUGGUGCAUGGUCGUCGUCAGCUCGUGUCGUGAGAUGUUGGGUUAAGUCCCGCAACGAGCGCAACCCUCGCCCUGUGUUGCCAGCGCGUCAUGGCGGGAACUCACGGGGGACCGCCGGGGUCAACUCGGAGGAAGGUGGGGAUGACGUCAGAUCAUCAUGCCCCUUACGUCCAGGGCUUCACGCAUGCUACAAUGGCCGGUACAACGGGAUGCGACAUGGCGACAUGGAGCGGAUCCCUGAAAACCGGUCUCAGUUCGGAUUGGAGUCUGCAACCCGACUCCAUGAAGGCGGAGUCGCUAGUAAUCGCGGAUCAGCAACGCCGCGGUGAAUGCGUUCCCGGGCCUUGUACACACCGCCCGUCAAGUCAUGAAAGUGGGUAGCACCCGAAGCCGGUGGCCUAACCCCUUGUGGGAUGGAGCCGUCUAAGGUGAGACUCGUGAUUGGGACUAAGUCGUAACAAGGUAGCCGUACCGGAAGGUGCGGCUG